UAGCUCAGUUGGUAGAGUGCUUGCCUCUCAUGCAUAAAGCCCUGGGUUCGAUCCCCAG
rnacentral:tRNA from 1 species